rnacentral:rRNA from 1 species
CCCUAUGGGGCGCAGCAGGCGCGAACACACCCAAUCCCAUUAUCGAUCAGCCGGUGGAAGAAUGGGAUAUGAUCAUGGAUGCAAAUGUAAAGGGGACAUGGCUCUUUUGCAGGGAGGCCGGCAGGGUGAUGAUAGAUCAGGGAAAGGGCGGCAAGGUUAUCAUCCUGGGCUCAGCCCGCGGGGAACUUGGCAUGGCCAAUUAUACUGCGUACAGCCCCUCCAAGGGUGCCGUGCAUCUCCUUGCAAAAUCACUCGGUUGCGAAUGGGGGAAAUACGGCAUCAAGGUUAAUGCAAUUGCACCGACUGUAUUCAGGACGGCACUCACGCAAUGGAUGUUCGAUGAUGAUGCGUUUUAUAAAAACUUUCUGAGAAGGAUCCCAAUAGGCCGGCGGGAGAGC